AUUGAACGCUGGCGGCAUGCCUUACACAUGCAAGUCGAACGGUAACAGGUCUUCGGCUGCUGACUAGUGGCGAACGGGUGAGUAAUACAUCGGAACGUGCCCGAUCCUGGGGUAUAACGGGGCGAAAGCUUUGCUAAUACCGCAUACGAUCUACGAAUGAAAGCGGGGGAUCUCCGGACCUCUCCCGGCCUGAGCGGACGAUGGCAGAUUAGGUAGUUGGUGGGAUAAAGGCUUACCAAGGCGACGAUCUGUAGCUGGUCUGCGAGGAUGAUCAGCCACACUGGGACUGAGACACGGCCCAGACUCCUACGGGAGGCAGCAGUGGGGAAUUUUGGACAAUGGGCGCAAGCCUGAUCCAGCCAUGCCGCGUGCAGGAUGAAGGCCUUCGGGUUGUAAACUGCUUUUGUACGGAACGAAAAGCCUCUUGCUAAUAAAGAGGGGUCAUGACGGUACCGUAAGAAUAAGCACCGGCUAACUACGUG
rnacentral:rRNA from 1 species